rnacentral:lncRNA from 1 species
UUUCAACUGAUCUAUUAGGGCCAUAAACCACUGUUAAACACCAAAAAAAAGUUAUCCAAUGGUCCUUGAAAGACAACGGAAAUAUGUCUUUGAGAAAUAAUAUGCCGAGAGGCUACCUAAAAAGAUAGGUCCCAAAGCAACCAUAUGCCACCUGACAAACCUGAAGCAUCCACACCCAAAAAUUCCAUUGGUCUAUUACCUCAAACCAAACAAACAAAAGUAAUAUUCGGAGCCUCCAACUUAGUUUUCCUGAAGCAACAAAAGAAGCGAUGUUGAGACCCCUG